GUUCUGGUGUGCAGAAGCGAAGUCGCCAGAGAAGUCGCUGGUCAGAGCAGUGACAUCUGCUCAAGCCAGAGAAAUCGACAAGCCAGGCCGCGGAAGCCAGAGCAGAGAAAUGCACCAAGUCAGAGAAGCAAAGCUCCGUGUCAGAGAAAUUGCGUGCGCCAGAGAAAUCACCCGCCAGAGCGGAGGAAGCGCCAGAGGAAUCAAGGCGCCAGAGGAGUCAAUAUGCCAGAGGGUAGAGAUACGUCAGAGGAAUCAAUACCAGAGAGGAACCCAUUCCGCUGACAAGAUCAGAGAAGUCAUCCGUUCCUCUGGCGAUAGCCAUUCCUCUGGCGAGAGCCGCGAUUUCCGCCCGAGUGGAGAUUACUUGCUGAGCGCGUCAUAGCUGGAGUUACCUUAUCAUCUACGAUUCUAUUCCUUUUAGAGUCCGGC
rnacentral:lncRNA from 1 species